GCAACUCGCCUGCAUGAAGUCGGAAUUGCUGGUAAUCGCGGAUCAGCAUGCCGCGGUGAAUACGUUCCCGGGCCUUGUACACACCGCCCGUCACACCAUGGGAGUCGGUAACACCCGAAGCCGAUAGUCUAACGAAAGAGGACGUCGUCGAAGGUGGGAUUGAUGACUGGGUGAAGUCGUAACAAGGUAUC
rnacentral:rRNA from 1 species